AAAGAGAUAAUUAAUUAAUAAAGUUAUUGUUGAAUAAAUAUUUUAAAUAAUUAAUUUGAAAUGAAAUGUUAAUCGUUUUUAAAUAUAUCUAGUUUUUUUAGAAAAAAAUUCAAUUUUUAAUUUUUUUUAAAUAAGUAAAUAAAUAAUUAUUUACUUAUUAAAAAAAUUAAAUAAUUUAAGGGAUAAGCUUUAAAUUAAAUUUUUAUAAUAUUAUUUUAAUUUAUUAAAAAUUUUAUAAUUUAUAUUGUUAAAAAAUUAUAAUUUAUUAUAAAUAAUUUUAUUAAAAAUAAAAUUUAAUUUUAUUAUAUUUAAAUUUUUAUAAAAAAUUAAUUUUUAAUAUUUUAAUAUUAAAAAUAAUGAUAAAAUUAGUAAAUAAAAUAUAAUAUACAUAAAUUGUUAAUUAUAAAAAUUAGUUAAAAGGAAUUCGGCAAAAAAUAUAAAAAUUAUGUUCACUUGUUUAUCAAAAACAUGUCUUUUUGAUUAUAAUUUAAAGUCUAAUCUGCCCACUGAUAAUUUAUUAAAGGGCUGCAGUAUUUUGACUGUACAAAGGUAGCAUAAUCAUUAGUCUUUUAAUUGAAGACUUGUAUGAAAGAUUGAAUGAAAUGUAAUCUGUCUCUUAAUUAUAAUAUUUAAUUUAAUUUUUUAUUUAAAAAGGUAAAAUAAAUUAAAAAGACGAGAAGACCCUAUAGAGUUUUAUAUUUAAUAUUAUUAAGAUUAUAUAUAAAUAAAGUAAUAAAAAUAUAAUAAAAUAUUUUAUUGGGGUGAUAGGAAAAUAUAUAUAACUUUUUUUUAUAAACUAAACCAUUAAUAAAUGAUUUUAUGAUCCAUAUUUUAUGAUUAAAAGAAAAAAUUACCUUAGGGAUAACAGCGUAAUUUUUUUUUUUAGUUCAAAUAAGAAAAAGAGUUUGCGACCUCGAUGUUGGAUUAAGAUAAAAUUUAAAUGCAGAAGUUUAAAAUUUUUG
rnacentral:rRNA from 1 species